UACGGAGGGGACUAGCGUUGUUCGGAAUUACUGGGCGUAAAGCGCACGUAGGCGGAUUUGUAAGUCAGGGGUGAAAUCCCGGGGCUCAACCUCGGAACUGCCUUUGAUACUGCAAAUCUCGAGUCCGGAAGAGGUGAGUGGAAUUCCUAGUGUAGAGGUGAAAUUCGUAGAUAUUAGGAAGAACACCAGUGGCGAAGGCGGUUCUCUGGGACGGUACUGACGCUGAGACGCGAAAGCGUGGGGAGCGAACAGG
rnacentral:rRNA from 1 species